UCUAUGAGGAAGCAAUUGCAAUUGUUUCCAUUUCGAAUGUUGCCUUUUCGUUUCCUUCAAUAUACUUGUACAGUACUGAAUUAUCAUAUACGAGCUAGAGGUUAUAUUUCAACAUCUUGAGCUUUUAUCAACUGGAAAUUUCAUAACAUAAUAAUAAUUCUUACAGACAGCUAAUUAUUGCGAUUUUUGCCAAUAGUCGAACCCAGUAUAUUGCUAUUCGCAAUAGGUAGUGAUCCAAAGAACUUGAAUAUUGUAAUUGUUAAUGAUGAAGCUGGCAGUUGCGAAUACGGCAGUAACUUUGGCAAUAUUUGGAAUGAUGAAAGUACUUGCCACUUCGGCAAUCUAAGUUGUAGAUUCCUAAACAAUUUCGACAAUACCAUUGCGACACAGGUGUAAUUCCAAAAUUAAUAAUAUAAUAAGUAUUAUAACAAUAUUUCAGAGGCGAGAUAUGAUGUCCAAAGGGGAGAACUUCAUGGUAUAAUAUAUUUUCAUCAAAAUUUUUCCGAUAGAGAAACGAGUGGAAAAUGUUACUUUCGCGAAGGAUUUUCACCUUCUUGCCAGUCAGAUUCAAGUUUUCCUCGAUAUGAGCGAAGGGCCAAUUGGACUUUUUCUAG